rnacentral:rRNA from 1 species
CCUACGGGGGGCAGCAGUGAGGAAUAUUGGUCAAUGGACGAGAGCCUGAACCAGCCAAGUAGCGUGAAGGAUGACUGCCCUAUGGGUUGUAAACUUCUUUUAUAUGGGAAUAAAAUAGGGUAUGUAUACCCUCUUGUAUGUACCAUAUGAAUAAGGAUCGGCUAACUCCGUGCCAGCAGCCGCGGUAAUACGGAGGAUCCGAGCGUUAUCCGGAUUUAUUGGGUUUAAAGGGAGCGUAGGUGGGUUGUUAAGUCAGUUGUGAAAGUUUGCGGCUCAACCGUAAAAUUGCAGUUGAAACUGGCAGUCUUGAGUACAGUAGAGGUAGGCGGAAUUCGUGGUGUAGCGGUGAAAUGCUUAGAUAUCACGAAGAACUCCGAUUGCGAAGGCAGCUCGCUGGACUGCAACUGACGCUGAUGCUCGAAAGUGUGGGUAUCAAACAGGAUUAGAUACCCGAGUAGUC